GGGAAGCUGGGAAAAGAAAACCCAGCUCUGACAGAUGCAUUUCUUUAACAAACCGCUGCUUUUCCCUACCUUAGCUGAAGGUUGGUUGUUUCUUUUUAAAGGGAAUUGCUGCUUUUAGAUCCAUCUUUGUAUUCAGGAGACAGUUACCUAGCCAAGGUCAUUGCUGCUGCAUGCCAGCAUCCCGCAGCGAGCCAGCCUCCUCUUCCUUGAAUGAGCACCGGUUUCACUGAGGUUUCCCUAAGUAAAGAAUGGGAUAGGCUUGAAUCUGCCAGUGCAAGGUCCCAAGUCAGUGUGGGGUAAGGAAAGCCAGAACAGCCUUUUUCUUGUAUAAAGACAGCAGAGGAGAUGAAUGAAAUCGUAAUCAAACAUUUCCUGUGCAGACAUGCACAGCAAUGGGUUAUGAAGAUACCCAUCCUGAGCUGGGCCUGCCUUGAGGCUCUCCUUGCCCCCCUGCCACUCAUCUGUAGGGAUGAGUUGUGUGUUCACAUCCCUGCAGCCUUUGUGCCUUGCAAGCUAUAAAGCUGCAUCCAGGCUCCCAUUGGGAAGACUUGCGAGGUUACAUCCCUUACAGCUUCCCUCCCCAUGGAAUUUCACCACCAUUAAUGAAUGGGGCUGGAUUGCUGCUCUGAGGCCAGUCAGCCAUGCACAGAUUUAUAGUCUGAGGCCAGAAGAGAUGAUGCUGCUGCCUGUGGCACUGCACCAGUGACAGUGAUUUCAUGUGUGUGCUGACAAGCCCACAAGGCCAGUGCCUUCACGUGCUGCACGUUAUGGCAGUGACAUCCCCACAGCAGGGACAUGAGCAGCGCUAAACUGGAGCGUGACACAAAACUCCUCUCAGGACUGGGAGCUGACAGUGAUUUCUUUGUCAUUCCCCUGUUGUCACCAUCCCACUGCACAUACAUUUGUUCAUCGUUAGCAAGAUAUUGCUGAUGACUAAAACUUGGGUCUGCAUCACAGAGAAACCGUUUGAAGGAGCAGCCCAGAACGGCGGGGUUCAAACUAGGAAGAAGUGGGGACAGUGCUUUUCCUCACAUCUAUUAGAUAUGGAGAGCAAACCAGUCUCCCAAUCCCUCCAGGCUGAGAGGGAAUUGCAUCACUGGUGUGUGUAGAUAGAAAUUCUUUUUCCCUCUGAAAUGUGCUUGUUUUAUUGUUUUUCCUCAUUGGAAUUUGCCAGCGUGUCCCAGAUGAUGUGGCUCUGCAAUUGAAAAGCAGCAUACCUGUGUGGGGGAGAGAAUGAGUAGUUUUCACUUUGCAAUCUGGCUCUUCCCUCCUCCCUUUUCCCCACAUCCCCAUGUGUUAUGGAGCCAGCUGCUCCCAGAAUAGUUUGGGAAUGAAAUGUCACCGUUUGAAACUGGUGAGUCACACUCUUUUCUAUGUGGGGGGGAAGUUGAAUAUGAAAUCUUGCGGUGUGGCAGAGCAUCUCCUGGUGAGUACAGAGAGGUUUUUCAACCACAGACUCCCUCAUGAUGGAGUUGAGGGGUUGCAAUAAAGGCUCCUGGGUGUGUCGGUGCUGCAUCUCAAAACCCUCUCUGCAAACUCCAGUUGUCUUCCCUAACGUGCCCACUGCAGCUGGAUCCUUGUGUCUCCCCCGGCAGGGCUGGGUUGUAUCUGUCUGGCAGCACACCUCCAGUGACUCUGGUAAUUAAGUCUCCCCGCACUGCUGUGAGAUGUAAUUACAGUGAGACCUGACUUCAGCAACCACUCCAGGGACUAAAACAUUCUUUACCAGAGCAGGGAGGAGCAGAAUGGUUGCACUAUCCCAAGUGGUGGCCACAGAGUUGUGCCACCCAUUUUGCAGUCUCUGUUUCAACAGUAUUGAUUUCCAGCUGAAGGAUGGGAAGAAGCUGGCAAUGGUAAUGUAAAUAGCCCCAGUAUGGGCUGGCAGCCCUCCUCUUGAGUCCCACCUUCAGUGACAUUCUGAAUACAUGCUGUGAGUAAAACUCCCACAUUGCAAGAUAACUGGGUGGGGAUUUUGCAAGCAGAAGCCCCAGGGGGUUGAUGCCAUCUCUCUCUGUUUUAUUUGGAAGCCUGAGCUAGUAGUGAGGUUUUAUGAAGUGAGCAUUUCUAUCUCAAGUUUUAGAUAGCGUUAACUACAAACCCACAUGCUUUAUUGUCACUGGGAUUAACAAAAAUAAUCUCUGUCUGUUAGAAUUCGCUGCAGAGCCUAAGAUUUUGUUUAAUACAAAUAACCUCAGGGACAACCUUGGGAAGCCCAAGUCUAAGGGCCAAUCCACAUUCCUUUUUCUCUACUUAUCUGCCCCUCUCUUUUCUCUGUUGUCUCAUUGUUGCCCUUUUUUCUUAACUCUGUUUCUGGGAUUUGGUUUGCACUGUGGGUCUGCAAAGAGCUGAACCACAGCACUGCAGGAGCUGGAAGUGGUGACAGCAGUGGAGGAGUCAGCCAAGGAACAAGGACUCUUUUCAACCUAUGGAAUUCUGCGCGCUACUUUGAAGAGGGCUGCAAAAGAUCACAAAGACAAGGAAGCUUAUUGUCAGUAGAUUUAAAUGAGCUAUCCAGGGGUCUGUGAUUCCAAGGGAAAACUUCAGGAGUUGAUUAUAAAGUUGUAAGUCAGCUCAAUCCAUUAAAAUCCACCCAUCUUUGUAAUCCUUGGACUGACAAAACAUCCUUCUGGCAGGACCUGUGCAGCUGAACUAACUCUGUCACUGAAUAUUGUGGAUUCAAGAUGCUGCUCUGUCCCCUGUGCUGGGAAAUCCAUGUGGAAACGUCUAACCUGGCACUGGAUACCAAUGGACUGGGCUGGAAACUAAACCUUUGCUUUAGAGACGCUGGAGUAGCUGCGACCAUACAACCCAUUCAGUUUUGUAGCAAGGUCAUUCCUUUGUCCCCAGGAUAAAUGAGCAGGUACACAGUGUUCUCCCCAGACUGUGAGGUGUCUGAAGUGUCUCAGAUGAGCUUUAUUGGGAACUAAAGGCAAUCAGCUUCAGGCAGAAUCAUGCAACAGAUUCUACCCAUGAUAUCUCCAGAGGUUUAAGCCCUGCGGUCAGACAGGUCAUACAACCUGAUGUGCUUUAAAGGCUUUGGGUUAAGUAAUGGUACUACUACUUGGAUGGAACUUCAUAAUGCUUAGAUGAGAAAAGGCUUGAGCUAGGAAAAAAAGAUCACCAAGGAUUUAAAAAUAGAGUAAUUUAAAAAUGGUAACAGUGAUCUAUUUAGGAUUUCAAACAUUUUUCCAUGUAGAUUUUGGUAAGCAGAGUCGUUCUGUAACUUCUUGCCAUUUACAUUGUGGGAGAAUUUGUCUUUUUUAGAGUGCCUGAAAAUACUAAAAGAUGAAAUGAGCUCCAUACCUGUAGGCCUGGGUCCAGGGGAAGCCAAAUAGGAGAGAGUGUUAAAGUCCGGCAUCUACCACAGUAUAUCCAAGCUGUGCUUCUCUCCUGCUUAGGGGCUUACUUUGAUUGGUCUGCCAAAAGCAGGAUGACACUUAAGUAAUACUACUUUAUGGCAACAUAUUCAUAGAAUCCCAGGCUGGUUUGGGUUGGAAGGGACCUUAAAGCUCAUCCAGUUCCAACGCCAUGCCACAGGCAGGGACACCUCCCACUAGAUGCUCCAAGCCCCUGUGUCCAACCUGGCCUUGAACACUGCCAGGGAUGGGGCAGCCACAGCUUCUCUGGACACCCUGUGCCAGCGCCUCAGCACCCUCCCAGGGAAGAGCUUCUGCCUAAGAGCUCAUCUCAGUCUCCCCUCUGGCAGGUUAAAGCCAUUCCCCUUUUCCUAUCCCUACAGGCCCUUGUCCAAAGCCCCUCUCCAGGUUUCUUGUCAGCCCCUUUAGGCACUGGAGCUGCUCCAAGAUCUCCCUGGAGCCUUCUCUUCUCCAGGCUGAACAAUGUCCAACUCAGCCUGAAUUUCAGAUCUACCAAGCAUGUGCAGAGUUAAGAACUUUUCAAGCUGUUCAAUCCUUCAUUCCAAACCAGCAAGCAGUGCAAGCUCCUGAAGAGACACCUUCAAAUCCACUUUUGGAACCAGGGUCUUCAGCUUCUUGUUCGUUCAAACUUAAGACAGCUCCACUUGUAAUCCAAGUUUAUGUGAGGAAUCCUAGCUGUAUCCUUGAUCUUGCUCACACCUCUAAUCAAAGGGAAAGGUUCACGUUUACCUGAGAACUAAAUUGGACAUUUUAACACAUAUUAUAUGGAAAAGUAUGCCCAAGUGAUGAAGUAAGAAUUGAUUCAUGGCUGUGCAGCAGAGUCUAGAAGUGCCAUUUUGGGAUGACAUGGAUCGAAGAUGCGGUUACUUUGCUUUUCCAUAUGAAGAACACUGCUUCUUCCCAGAUGAGCUGUCAUGUAACGUAGAUGACUCUCUGGAGGAAGAGUUUGCUGCACAUUUGCAGUAUGUUUUAGCUACUAUCAACAUUUAUAUUCCAUUGGCAUUUGAGCAUAAGCACUGAUUAGCAUAAUCAUCAAUGCUUUAAUGUGAAAAAUUCCUCCAGGAGACACAGGAGGGAUUGAAACUGUUCCCUUCCCCCAGAGGCAAGUCCUUUCCCAAGCUGGCUGCUGCACCAAAAGGUUUCAUUCUAGAAACAUUC